rnacentral:rRNA from 1 species
AGUGAACGCUGGCGGCGUGCCUAAUACAUGCAAGUCGAACGAAGUGGCGCGCGGGUGAGUAAUAUAUAGUUAAUCUGCCCUACACAGAGGAACAACAGUUGGAAACGACUGCUAAUACCUCAUAGUGUAGGGUGAGACUGUAUCGUAUCAGCUAGUUGGUAAGGUAAUGGCUUACCAAGGCUAUGACGCGUAACUGGUCUGAGAGGAUGAGCAGUCACAUUGGAACGGAGACACGGUCCGAACACCUACGGGAAUCAGCAGUAGGGAGUAUGGCGCAAGGGGCGAAAGCCUGACGCAGCAUCGCAGCGUGGAGGAUGAUACUUUUCGGAGAGUAAACUCCUUUUAUAAGGAAAGCGGUACCUGAUGAAUAAGCACCGGCUAACUCCGUGCCAGCAGCCGCGGUAAUUC